rnacentral:rRNA from 1 species
UACGGAGGGUGCGAGCGUUGUCCGGAAUCAUUGGGCGUAAAGGGCGCGUAGGUGGCCCGGUCAGUUCGUGGUGAAAGCGCGGGGCUCAACCCUGCGUCGGCCAUGAAUACUGCCGCGGCUGGAGCACUGUAGAGGCAGGCGGAAUUCCGGGGUGUAGCGGUGGAAUGCGUAGAGAUCCGGAAGAACACCGGUGGCGAAGGCGGCCUGCUGGGCAGUUGCUGACACUGAGGCGCGACAGCGUGGGGAGCAAACAGGG